rnacentral:piRNA from 1 species
UAAGCUAGGUUCAUCCACCUGUCCUC